GAUUUCCAAUAAAAGAUACGCUAGCCACCUUGUAACGCUUAAAAAGGGUGUUGUUCCGAGCAUCUUUAAAGAAUUUCCAUCUUAUUUGCAGAAAGUUCAAAAGACUAAGAAAGUUCCAUUUAAGAGACCUGCUCCUGCCAACUCAGAAACUAGAGAAUUCAUAGCUGAUGAAACAUGCAGUAAUACAGAAGAUUCUCCUG